AUGUCCUAGAUCGAUCACUACUUGAAUAAUCCAGAGAGCCCAGCAGAUUUAACACCUGUGAGACUUCUAGAUCUGCAACUGACUCAAGCACCCUACAGUAAUGUGCUUCGACCCCAGGUUUCUUCCUUCACAAAGAAAAUCUACAAUAGGUUCUGUUGGUCCAGCUAUCCCACAGGGAACCGGAAGACAGCUCUGACUUACUAGAAACUCAGUCAUGGAGCCAUUCAAUUAACUGUGCUAUAAUAAAAGGUCAAAUGACGCACCA
rnacentral:lncRNA from 1 species